UGAAAGGCUGGCACCAGGACGCUUUGAUUACAUCGGCCACAGCCACCAGUUAUUCCACAUCUGUGCAGUGCUGGGCACCCACUUCCAGCUGGAGGCAGUGCUGGCUGAUAUGGGAUCACGCAGAGCCUGGCUGGCCACACAGGAACCUGCCCUGGGCCUGGCAGGCACAGUGGCCACACUGGUCUUGGCUGCAGCUGGGAACCUACUCAUUAUUGCUGCUUUCACAGCCACCCUGCUUCGGGCCCCCAGUACAUGCCCUCUGCUGCAGGGUGGCCCACUGGAGGGGGGUACCCAGGCCAAACAACAGUGAGGCCCCAUCCCUGACCCUGUCCUGGAGGGGGCAGAGGCCAGGCCCCAGUGCUGACGAGGAGCCCAGAUUUGGGCCUAAUCAGGUGGGGACGCAUCUCAGCCUGGAACCAACAGGGGCUGAGGAGAGAGGGCACAGGAGAGAGGGCAGAGAAGAGGAGGGGUGUCUAGGGGGACUGGCAGAGUGUGAGAGGGACCGUGAGGGGGCUCUUGAUGGGAGUGGAAGAAGUGCUGAGGGUCUGAGAGGGGAGAUGCAUGCGUGUCCAGGCUGAAGAUGCCCCUAUAUUCUGUCAAAGGUUGGCGGGGGGAGGUGUUGGGGUCCUUUCAUCUGGCUCCGUUUCUGGUGCUUCUGGAAGUCUCUGCUCAGCACAGGGAAGAACUAACACGACUAACCUAGGCCUACCCUGAAUGCUUCUUGCUAACCAGGCCGAGAGGCCACACACUUGCCCCCCCAUCCCCACAAACCAGGUAAUGCCAGUUUGCCAGCAGCUAUUUGCCUAUAGAGAUGAGUCUGUCCUGGUCAUAACUGUGUGCUCAAGGUGUCCAGGCUUUUGGGGGUGGGCCUAUCUGGGUGCAUUAUGGAUGGUUUGGUGGAUUGAGGUGUGGGGAGGAGGGUCCUAGGCUAGAGGGGGUAUCCCUAGUUAGACUUUGGGAAGCCACCUUCAACGUUUUCUGGAACAAGGCAGGUACAAAUAAAAAAAUAAAACUUUGGAAA
rnacentral:lncRNA from 1 species